GGCAUCGUCUGCUAGCUUUCGAAAAUUCUCAUUUCUCAUGUGUGCUCAGUCAGUUUAGUAGGGGAUUCUUGGUAUAUUUAUGUGCCUAUUGAGGUACAUUUAUUUAUGAUCGCAUGAGAUUACAGAGCUUUUUGGUGUUGUAAUCAUCAUUCGAAAAGAAAGAAUGGCCGAAGAAAAUUCCACCGAUGAAUUAAUAGAAGAGAAGGCUGAAGAGUUGGACGGCGAGGAAGAAUUAUUGGCUCGGCACCGGAAGGAAAAAAAAGAUAUUCAAGCAAAGAUUCAAGCUUUGAAGAAGACAGCAACGAAAGGAGACAAAAAGAAAAAGAAGGACGUGGCUGAGGAGAUUGCCAAGCUAGAAACUGAAAUAGAGACUAAACAUGCUGCAGAAUUGAAGAAAUUUCAGGAAUCCACAGCUGAAACCAAGAAAAUCUCUGAGCAACUAGAAGAUGUAAACUUGGCAGCCAAGGGUGAAGGAAAAGUCACAAAGGCUCAAAGAAGAAGAGACAAAAAACAGGACCAAGCCAAAGAAAGGGUGCAGUUGAUUGAAGAACAGGAGAAAGCUAAUCUUUUGGGAGUCAGGCACACUGAAACCCAGAAAAUCAAAGCAAUACUGGCCAAGCAAAAUCUGACUUUCUUUGAAAUACCAUCUGAUGGCAACUGCAUGUUCGCGGCCAUACUGCACCAAAUUAACCGCGGAGGUGUCUCACAGUCUGUGCAGCAACUUCGCAAUCUUGCGGCAGAAUUUAUGCGUUCAAACGUGGACGAUUUCAUGCCGUUCAUGGACGAGGUGGAAAACGAAGAACAAUACAUGAAAUACUGCGACGAUCUCCAACGAACCGCCACGUGGGGUAGCCAGCUGGAGUUGCGAGCUUUAAGUCAAGUUUUACGACGUCCCUUUGAAGUCGUGCAGGCUGAAGGUCGUCCUGUUAUCAUAGGCGAAGAAUUCACGGAUCCAUCAUCUACUCCGGUACUGCUCACUUACCAUCGCCACAUGUACGGCUUGGGAGAACAUUACAACAGCGUCCAGCCUCGGCCAGCCGACGACGAGGACAAUGACGGCGGCCAAUAAACCAACAUCCCGCCAUCUCUCUCAGUAAUCUCCCACCUUCACCCAAAAGUAAAUGAGUUAUGAAAUUGGCUGGAGAAGCAAAAUUGAUGAUGUGAUACAUUCGUGCGCGUACGUGUAACGUAUCCUUCUCUGCCCUUUGGGGGCGGACAGACAGGAUGUUGUAAAGAAAGAAAAACUACACCGGGGAGGAAGGUCAGAACAGGUCGGGAAAGUCGUUUGUCAGCACUUGGUGCAGAGAGAGAGAGAGUCAAUGGGAAAGGAAUAAAAUACAGCGACACACGUACAAGUCUCAAAUAGGCGCCGUUUUUAAAUAUUAAACGAAUUAGACUCGCGCAGAAUGGGGUAGUACCUAAUCAAUGAUCAAUGAUGAUGUAGCAUUUGCCAAAACGAUUCGUUGUUUCAACGCCACGGGGAAUUAUCUGAAAAAAAAAAGAAGAUAGAAGGAAGGAUCGUGCUGGCCAGUUUUGAUCAACAACCGCCGUCCCGCCUCUUCACUGGUCGACACGUUUUAAUCGCCGUUGUGUGUCUGCCCAGUUUAUCAACUGCGGUGAAAUCGGGAGCCUAAAACCUCUUUUUGCGGCUGCACAACACGCAAUUUGCCGGCGAGGAGGGGAAUUUAACAAUGUCCGACAUCGGGUGCGUGCGCUGGUUGGCCAAAAACAACUUGAAAAAUGCUUCCCAACACGAAGAAAAUUCACAAUUCUUUUUCGUGUGAGUGACGUUUCUUUGCUUUCGUGCCGCCGUUCGUUUCGGUCGGUGGCUUAUGACCGGUUUGUGUUGUAGUUGCGGUUGGUCUGUUUAUUCUCUCAUGACGCCGAGAUUUAUUUUCUCCCCACGAGUCGCAAGUGAAGAAAGACAGAAAAUGAAUGAACAAGGAUAAAAAAAAGGGGGUUAAGCAGGAAUAGUGAGCCGUGACGAAAGAGAGAAGGCUCUAUCCUCUCUCAUCAACCCAAAAGAAGUUUUUUUUUUUCUCUUUUGGGGUGGUGAGGCGGCGCGCAUAACAACACGAUUUGAACCAGGUAGAUAUAUACAGUAGGUAGCGCUGCGGCCCAUCAAAUAGUCAGAAA